UGUAGGAUGAUGAAAUAAAUCAGACGGAUUCCCAAUGAUUUCUCUUAUUUUAAAAAGAGAUGAUAUCACAAUCUGCUGCUGACUCUU